UACGUAGGGUGCAAGCGUUAAUCGGAAUUACUGGGCGUAAAGCGUGCGCAGGCGGUUUUGUAAGUCUGAUGUGAAAUCCCCGGGCUCAACCUGGGAAUUGCAUUGGAGACUGCAAGGCUAGAAUCUGGCAGAGGGGGGUAGAAUUCCACGUGUAGCAGUGAAAUGCGUAGAGAUGUGGAGGAACACCGAUGGCGCAAGGCAGCC
rnacentral:rRNA from 1 species